CAAAGGCUAGUAAUAACUCAAUGACAAUCACAACAAAGGUAGAAGUUUAAGGAAGAAAUUAGCGAGGUAGACAAGUAGAAGAAGCAGAGGCCGAAAUCUUACAAAAAGAAGUAAAAAGAGGUGCACAUGGGUUGGGCAAUGAGCAAUACUAAAACAUUUAGGUUGCUUCAAAUGGCCCAAUUAACAUUUGGGCCCUGUCAUCUCGAUUAUGGUGUUAAAAUUUCG
rnacentral:lncRNA from 1 species